GGCCCCUCUUCUUUGCCGCACCAAGCAAGGAAAAGGAGGAGGGGCAUGUGCCCCUCCUUCAUGGUUAACCUAAUCCUCCUAAUAGGAAGGUCACUCUUGGUUAGGUCCUAAUCUAAUUAGGUUUGGACCAAGGGUGAACCAAUUUGGGUUUUAAUCUAUGUAAGUUCUAAUCCAAUUAGAACUUGAUGAGCCAUGACUCAAUUGAACCCUUCAAUCCUAAUCUAUUUAGGAGUCAUCUUGAUUCAUUAGAUUAAUAAUU
rnacentral:lncRNA from 1 species